rnacentral:rRNA from 1 species
GGUCCAGACUCCUACGGGAGGCAGCAGUCGGGAAUAUUGCGCAAUGGAGGAAACUCUGACGCAGUGACGCCGCGUGCAGGAAGAAGGUUUUCGGAUUGUAAACUGCUUUAGACAGGGAAGAAAAAAGACAGUACCUGUAGAAUAAGCCCCGGCUAACUACGUGCCAGCAGCCGCGGUAAUACGUAGGGGGCAAGCGUUAUCCGGAUUUACUGGGUGUAAAGGGAGCGUAGACGGCGGCGCAAGUCCGGAGUGAAAGCCCACGGCCCAACCGUGGGACUGCUCUGGAAACUGUGCGGCUUGAGUGCGGGAGGGGCAGGCGGAAUUCCUAGUGUAGCGGUGAAAUGCGUAGAUAUUAGGAGGAACACCGGCGGCGAAGGCGGCCUGCUGGACCGUAACUGACGUUGAGGCUCGAAAGCGUGGGGAGCAAACAGGAUUAGAUACCCUGGUAC